GAUGAACGCUAGCUACAGGCUUAACACAUGCAAGUCGAGGGGUAGCACGGAGGAAGCUUGCUUCCUUGGGUGACGACCGGCGCACGGGUGAGUAACGCGUAUCCGACCUACCCAUAACUCGGGCACAGCCGCUCGAAAGAGUGAUUGAUUCCCGAUAUGUCUUUAGAGUAGAUUUAAAGAUGAAAGAUUUAUCGGUUAUGGAUGGGGAUGCGUAAGAUUAGGUAGUAGGCGGGGUAACGGCCCACCUAGCCGACGAUCUUUAGGGGUUCUGAGAGGAAGGUCCCCCACACUGGUACUGAGACACGGACCAGACUCCUACGGGAGGCAGCAGUGAGGAAUAUUGGUCAAUGGGCGGAAGCCUGAACCAGCCAAGUAGCGUGAAGGAUGACUGCCCUACGGGUUGUAAACUUCUUUUGUUUGGGAAUAAAGACGCUACGUGUAGCGUUCUGCAUGUACCCGCAGAAUAAGGACCGGCUAAUUCCGUG
rnacentral:rRNA from 1 species